AUGGAGUAUGCGCUUGGCUUGGUUUACCUUGUUGCAUUUUUAAAAGGUGUCCAGUGUGAUGUGCAGCUGGUGGAGUCUGGGGGAGACCUGGUGAAGCCUGGGGGGUCCCUGAGACUCACCAGUGUGGCCUCUGGAUUCACCUUCAGUAGUUCCAGCAUGCACUGGGUCCGCCAGGCUCCAGGGAAGGGGCUGCAGUGGGUCGCAUAUAUUAGUGGUAGUGGAGGUAGCACAAGAUACGCAGACUCUGUGAAGGGCCAAUUCACCAUCUCCAGAGAUAACGCCAAGAACACGCUGUAUCUGCAGAUGAACAACCUGAAGUCUGAGGACACGGCCACAUAUUACUGUGCAAGAAACAGGGAAAACGGCACUAACAUGCACAAAAGACACAGUUGUUUGCAUUGCUUACUCCUGUCCCUCAACAUGAGUGAAUUACAGAUUUUCUGA